rnacentral:sRNA from 1 species
AAUAGCAAAAUGAUCAUUACAUUAGAACGGAAAAUGGGUAAAAAAA